UACGGGGGGGGCAAGCGUUGUUCGGAAUUACUGGGCGUAAAGGGCUCGUAGGCGGCCAACUAAGUCAGACGUGAAAUCCCCAGGCUUAACCUGGGAACUGCAUCCGAUACUGGAUGGCUUGAAUCCGGGAGAGGGAUGCAGAAUUCCAGGUGUAGCGGUGAAAUGCGUAGAGAUCCGGAGGAACACCGAAGGCGAAGGCAGUGUCCUGGGGAGUACCUGACGCUCAGGUGCGAAAGCCAGGGGAGCGAACGGG
rnacentral:rRNA from 1 species